GGGUUGUGAGGUUAAGCGACUAAGCGUACACGGUGGAUGCCCUGGCAGUCAGAGGCGAUGAAGGACGUGCUAAUCUGCGAAAAGCGUCGGUAAGGUGAUAUGAACCGUUAUAACCGGCGAUGUCCGAAUGGGGAAACCCAGUGUGAUUCGUCACACUAUCGUUAACUGAAUACAUAGGUUAACGAGGCGAACCGGGGGAACUGAAACAUCUAAGUACCCCGAGGAAAAGAAAUCAACCGAGAUUCCCCCAGUAGCGGCGAGCGAACGGGGAGCAGCCCAGAGUCUGAAUCAGCUUGUGUGUUAGUGGAACGGUCUGGAAAGUCCGACGGUACAGGGUGAUAGUCCCGUACACCAAAAUGCACAGGCUGUGAACUCGAAGAGUAGGGCGGGACACGUGGUAUCCUGUCUGAAUAUGGGGACCAUCCUCCAAGGCUAAAUACUCCUGACUGACCGAUAGUGAACCAGUACCGUGAGGGAAAGGCGAAAAGAACCCCGGCGAGGGGAGUGAAAAAGAACCUGAAACCGUGUACGUACAAGCAGUGGGAGCACCUUCGGGUGUGACUGCGUACCUUUUGUAUAAUGGGUCAGCGACUUAUAUUCUGUAGCAAGGUUAACCGUAUAGGGAGCCGCAGGGAAACCGAGUCUUAACUGGGCGUUAAGUUGCAGGGUAUAGACCCGAAACCCGGUGAUCUAGCCAUGGGCAGGUUGAAGGUUGGGUAACACUAACUGGAGGACCGAACCGACUAAUGUUGAAAAAUUAGCGGAUGACUUGUGGCUGGGGUGAAAGGCCAAUCAAACCGGGAGAUAGCUGGUUCUCCCGAAAGCUAUUUAGGUAGCGCCUCGUGAAUUCAUCUUCGGGGUAGAGCACUGUUUCGGCUAGGGGUCAUCCCGACUUACCAACCCGAUGCAAACUACGAAUACCGAAGAAUGUUAUCACGGGAGACACACGGCGGGUGCUAACGUCCGUCGUGAAGAGGGAAACAACCCAGACCGCCAGCUAAGGUCCCAAAGUCAUGGUUAAGUGGGAAACGAUGUGGGAAGGCACAGACAGCGGGAUGUUGGCUUAGAAGCAGCCAUCAUUUAAAGAAAGCGUAAUAGCUCACUGGUCGAGUCGGCCUGCGCGGAAGAUGUAACGGGCUAAACCAUGCACCGAAGCUGCGGCAGCGACACUAUGUGUUGUUGGGUAGGGAGCGUUCUGUAAGCCUGCGAAGGUGACCUGUGAGGGUUGCUGGAGGUAUCAGAAGUGCGAAUGCUGACAUAAGUAACGAUAAAGCGGGUGAAAAGCCCGCUCGCCGGAAGACCAAGGGUUCCUGUCCAACGUUAAUCGGGGCAGGGUGAGUCGACCCCUAAGGCGAGGCCGAAAGGCGUAGUCGAUGGGAAACAGGUUAAUAUUCCUGUACUUGGUGUUACUGCGAAGGGGGGACGGAGAAGGCUAUGUUAGCCGGGCGACGGUUGUCCCGGUUUAAGCAUGUAGGCUGAUUAUCCAGGCAAAUCCGGAUAAUCAAGGCUGAGGUGUGAUGACGAGGCACUACGGUGCUGAAGUAACAAAUGCCCUGCUUCCGUGAAAAGCCUCUAAGCAUCAGGUAACAUCAAAUCGUACCCCAAACCGACACAGGUGGUCAGGUAGAGAAUACCAAGGCGCUUGAGAGAACUCGGGUGAAGGAACUAGGCAAAAUGGUGCCGUAACUUCGGGAGAAGGCACGCUGGUGUGUAGGUGAAGUCCCUGCGGAUGGAGCUGAGACCAGUCGAAGAUACCAGCUGGCUGCAACUGUUUAUUAAAAACACAGCACUGUGCAAACACGAAAGUGGACGUAUACGGUGUGACGCCUGCCCGGUGCCGGAAGGUUAAUUGAUGGGGUUAUCCGUAAGGAGAAGCUCUUGAUCGAAGCCCCGGUAAACGGCGGCCGUAACUAUAACGGUCCUAAGGUAGCGAAAUUCCUUGUCGGGUAAGUUCCGACCUGCACGAAUGGCGUAAUGAUGGCCAGGCUGUCUCCACCCGAGACUCAGUGAAAUUGAACUCGCUGUGAAGAUGCAGUGUACCCGCGGCAAGACGGAAAGACCCCGUGAACCUUUACUAUAGCUUGACACUGAACAUUGAGCCUUGAUGUGUAGGAUAGGUGGGAGGCUUUGAAGCGUGGACGCCAGUCUGCGUGGAGCCAACCUUGAAAUACCACCCUUUAAUGUUUGAUGUUCUAACGUUGGCCCCUGACCGGGGUUGCGGACAGUGUCUGGUGGGUAGUUUGACUGGGGCGGUCUCCUCCCAAAGCGUAACGGAGGAGCACGAAGGUUAGCUAAUCUGGUCGGACAUCAGGAGGUUAGUGCAAUGGCAUAAGCUAGCUUGACUGCGAGCGUGACGGCGCGAGCAGGUGCGAAAGCAGGUCAUAGUGAUCCGGUGGUUCUGAAUGGAAGGGCCAUCGCUCAACGGAUAAAAGGUACCCGGGGAUAACAGGCUGAUACCGCCCAAGAGUUCAUAUCGACGGCGGUGUUUGGCACCUCGAUGUCGGCUCAUCACAUCCUGGGGCUGAAGUAGGUCCCAAGGGUAUGGCUGUUCGCCAUUUAAAGUGGUACGCGAGCUGGGUUUAGAACGUCGUGAGACAGUUCGGUCCCUAUCUGCCGUGGGCGCUGGAGAAUUGAGGGGCUGCUCCUAGUACGAGAGGACCGGGUGGACGCAUCACUGGUGUUCGGGUUGUCAUGCCAAUGGCACUGCCCGGUAGCUAAAUGCGGAAGAGAUAAGUGCUGAAAGCAUCUAAGCACGAAACUUGCCCCGAGAUGAGUUCUCCUGAGACUUUAAGUCUCCUGAAGGAACGUUGAAGACGACGACGUUGAUAGGCCGGGUGUGUAAGCGCAGCGAUGCGUUGAGCUAACCGGUACUAAUGAACCGUGAGGCUUAACCUUACAACGCCGAAG
rnacentral:rRNA from 1 species